CCUACGGGAGGCAGCAGUGAGGAAUAUUGGUCAAUGGACGGAAGUCUGAACCAGCCAUGCCGCGUGCAGGAAGACGGCUCUAUGAGUUGUAAACUGCUUUUGUACAAGGGUAAACCUGAAUACGUGUAUUCAGCUGAAAGUACUGUACGAAUAAGGAUCGGCUAACUCCGUGCCAGCAGCCGCGGUAAUACGGAGGAUCCAAGCGUUAUCCGGAUUUAUUGGGUUUAAAGGGUGCGUAGGCGGAUUGAUAAGUUAGAGGUGAAAUGUCCGAGCUUAACUCGGGAACUGCCUCUAAUACUGUUGGUCUAGAGAGUAGAUGCGGUAGGCGGAAUGUAUGGUGUAGCGGUGAAAUGCUUAGAGAUCAUACAGAACACCGAUUGCGAAGGCAGCUUACCAAGCUAUAUCUGACGUUGAGGCACGAAAGCGUGGGGAGCAAACAGGAUUAGAUACCCUUGUAGUC
rnacentral:rRNA from 1 species